GGAUUAGAUACCCGGGUAGUCCAUGCCGUAAACGUUGGGAACUAGAUGUGGGGGCCAUUCCACGGCUUCCGUGUCGCAGCUAACGCAUUAAGUUCCCCGCCUGGGGAGUACGGCCGCAAGGCUAAAACUCAAAGGAAUUGACGGGGGCCCGCACAAGCGGCGGAGCAUGCGGAUUAAUUCGAUGCAACGCGAAGAACCUUACCAAGGCUUGACAUAUACGAGAACGCUGCAGAAAUGUAGAACUCUUUGGACACUCGUAUACAGGUGGUGCAUGGUUGUCGUCAGCUCGUGUCGUGAGAUGUUGGGUUAAGUCCCGCAACGAGCGCAACCCUCGUUCUAUGUUGCCAGCACGUAAUGGUGGGAACUCAUAGGAGACUGCCGGGGUCAACUCGGA
rnacentral:rRNA from 1 species